GACGAACGCUGGCGGCGUGCCUAGCACAUGCAAGUCGAACGGGGUAAUUUCUUCGGAGAUUACUUAGUGGCGAACGGGUGAGUAACGCGUGAGAAACCUGCCUUUCAGUGGGGGACAACAGUUGGAAACGACUGCUAAUACCGCAUAAUGUUAUUUGGGGGCAUCCCUGAAUAACCAAAGCUUUAUGUGCUGAAAGAUGGUCUCGCGUCUGAUUAGCUAGAUGGCGGGGUAACGGCCCACCAUGGCGACGAUCAGUAGCCGGUCUGAGAGGAUGAACGGCCACAUUGGGACUGAGAUACGGCCCAGACUCCUACGGGAGGCAGCAGUGGGGAAUAUUGGGCAAUGGGGGAAACCCUGACCCAGCAACGCCGCGUGAAGGAAGAAGGCCUUCGGGUUGUAAACUUCUUUUACCAGGGACGAAGAACGUGACGGUACCUGGAGAAAAAGCAACGGCUAACUACGUGCCAGCCGCCGCGGUAACAC
rnacentral:rRNA from 1 species